rnacentral:rRNA from 1 species
GAUGAACGCUGGCGGCGUGCCUAAUACAUGCAAGUCGAGCGAACAGAUGAGGAGCUUGCUCCUCUGACGUGAGCGGGGGACGGGUGAGUAACAGGUGGAUAACCGACCUAUAAGACUGGGAUAACUUCGGGAAACCGGAGCUAAUACGGGAUAAUAUAUGGAACCGCAUGGUUCAAUAGUGAAAGACGGUUUUGCUGUCACGUAUAGAUGGAUCCGCGCCGCAUUAGCUAGUUGGUAAGGUAACGGCUUACCAAGGCAACGAUGCGUAGCCGACCUGAGAGGGUGAUCGGCCACACUGGAACUGAGACACGGUCCAGACUCCUACGGGAGGCAGCAGUAGGGAAUCUUCCGCAAUGGGCGAAAGCCUGACGGAGCAACGCCGCGUGAGUGAUGAAGGUCUUCGGAUCGUAAAACUCUGUUAUUAGGGAAGAACAAAUGUGUAAGUAACUAUGCACGUCUUGACGGUACCUAAUCAGAAAGCCACGGCUAACUACGUG